rnacentral:miRNA from 1 species
AACCUCAUCAACCGGAAGGGAUUCCUUCCGGUUGAUGGGGUUGUUGUACCUCAUCAAUCUGAAGGAAAUCCUUCUGAUUGAUGAGGUAUAACAACCUCAUCGACCGGAAAGGAUUUCUUCCGGUCGGUGAGGCC